rnacentral:antisense_RNA from 1 species
AAGUUGUCAUCUUCGGCUGACAACAGCGCAUCGAUGAACUCUUUGGGAAUAGCGGUGAAUUCGAUAGGCGACCGGCGCAUUUCGCCAUAUUCGGCGAUUAACUUGCCGUCGCUACUGUAGAUGCGCAGAGGGAUCUGCAACUGGAUGCUACGCAGUGCAUCCGCUGAAGGCAGCGUGGGGCUCAGAUACAGAAAAGCGCCGCUGAUGCUGAGUGCCAGGGCACACACAACAGCAACACAUGACCAGGACAGGAAUUUCAGCAGGCGAAUCAAGUGUUCGGAUUUCCAGG